rnacentral:SRP_RNA from 1 species
GCUGGGCGUGGUAGCGGGCACCUGUAAUCCCAGCUACUCAGGAGGCUGAGGCAGGAGAAUCACUUGAACCCGGGAGGCAGAGGUUGCAGUGAGCUGAGAUCACGCCACUGCACUCUAGCCUGGGCAACAAAGAGAGACUCUGUAAAAAAAAAAAAAAAAAAAAAAUCCAUAAUAUUGAUUUUAAUCUUUUUUUUUUUUUUUUUUUUUUUUACAGAGUCUCUCUUUGUUGCCCAGGCUAGAGUGCAGUGGCGUGACCUCAGCUCACUGCAACCUCUGCCUCCCGGGUUCAAGUGAUUCUCCUGCCUCAG